rnacentral:misc_RNA from 1 species
GAUGAAGAACGUAGCGAAAUGCGAUAAGUAAUGUGAAUUGCAGAAUUCAGUGAAUCAUCGAAUCUUUGAACGCACAUUGCGCCCCCUGGUAUUCCGGGGGGCAUGCCUGUUCGAGCGUCAUUACAACCCUCAAGCUCUGCUUGGUGUUGGGCCCCGCCGCCCCGGCGGGCCCUAAAAUCAGUGGCGGUGCCGUCCGGCUCCGAGCGUAGUAAUUCUUCUCGCUCUGGAGGUCCGGGUGUGUGCUAGCCAGCAACCCCCAAUUUUUUUCAGGUUGACCUCGGAUCAGGUAGGGAUACCCGCUGAACUUAAGCAUAUCAAUAAGCGGAGGA